CAGAAGAUCUGGAAACACUUGUUCUAGAGGCUGGAAGUCCAAGAUCAAGAUGCCUACAUGGUCACUUUCUGGAGGCAGCAGGAUUUAUGGCAUGAUCUUUGGCUUUGGACUUCACUUCAGACCUUCAUUCAAGUCUUGGCUCCACUACUUAUUGUCUGUG